rnacentral:misc_RNA from 1 species
AAGUCGUAACAAGGUUUCCGUAGGUGAACCUGCGGAAGGAUCAUUAAAGAAUACAUGGACUCCGGUCCUCGUCGAGAAAGGUCGUCCCGGGUGGCCUCCAGGUCCCCGGGGGUCUUCCCCCAUCCUUGACCCUUCUCCGUUUACUCGUUACCUCUGCUUCGUCUUUGGCAUUGCACGCAUCCGUGUCCCCUGGGCCGGGGUUUCCGGGGCUUUGGGCCGGUCCUUGGGCCCGGUACUGGGCCCCCGGAACGGCCUACUGUGGGAUAGUCCUAUGUUUUGUCUGAGUACGAUAUAAUCGUUUACAAC